rnacentral:rRNA from 1 species
GACGAACCGUGCGAACGUUGUUCGGAAUCACUGGGCGUAAAGGGCGCGUAGGCGGGAUGGCAAGUCGGUCGUGAAAUCCUUCGGCUCAACCGAAGAACGUCGGCCGAUACUGCCGUUCUUGAGGGAUGCAGAGGAGAUUGGAAUUCCCGGUGUAGCGGUGAAAUGUGUAGAGAUCGGGAGGAACACCGGUGGCGAAGGCGGGUCUCUGGGCAUCUCCUGACGCUGAGGCGCGAAAGCGUGGGGAGCAAACGGGG